rnacentral:rRNA from 1 species
AUGGGUCUCGUCUGGUUGGUGGCGGCCGCCGUGGCGGUGGUGCUGGCGUCGUGGGCGUUCAACGCGCUGGUGUACCUCGUGUGGAGGCCGCGGGCCAUCACCAGGCAGCUCCGCGCGCAGGGCGUCGGCGGUCCGGGUUACAGGUUCUUCGCCGGGAACCUCGCCGAGAUCAAGCAGCUCCGCGCCGACAGCGCCGGCGCCGCGCUGGACAUCGGCAACCACGACUUCGUCCCCAGGGUCCAGCCGCACUUCCGCAAAUGGAUCCCCAUCCACGGGCGCACGUUCCUCUACUGGUUCGGAGCCAGGCCGAGCCUGUGCGUCGCCGACGUGAACACGGUGAAGCAGGUGCUCUCCGACCGCAGCGGGCUGUACCCGAAGAGCAUCGGGAACCCGCACAUCGCCCGCCUGCUCGGCAAGGGGCUCGUGCUCACCGACGGCGACGACUGGAAGCGCCACCGCAAGGUCGUCCACCCGGCCUUCAACAUGGACAAGCUCAAGAUGAUGACGGUGACCAUGUCCGACUGUGCCGGGUCAAUGAUGUCGGAGUGGAAGGCAAAGAUGGACAAGGGCGGCAGCGUGGAGAUUGACCUGAGCCACCAGUUUGAGGAGCUAACCGCGGAUGUCAUCUCCCACACGGCAUUCGGAAGCAGCUACGAACAAGGGAAAAAGGUCUUCCUCGCGCAGAGGGAGCUCCAGUUUCUUGCCUUCUCCACCGUUUUCAACGUGCAAAUCCCAGCAUUCAGGUACCUUCCAACUGAAAAGAACCUCAAGAUAUGGAAGCUUGACAAGGAGGUGAGGACCAUGCUUAUGAACAUCAUCAAAGGCCGUCUUGCCACCAAAGACACCAUGGGCUAUGGCAACGACCUCCUCGGGCUUAUGUUGGAGGCAUGUGGCCCAGAGGACGGGCAAAAUCCGCUUUUGAGUAUGGAUGAGAUCAUAGAUGAGUGCAAGACCUUCUUCUUUGCCGGGCAUGACACCAGCUCACACCUGCUCACAUGGACCAUGUUCUUGCUGAGCACGCACCCCGAGUGGCAGGAGAAGCUCAGGGAGGAGGUGCUAAGAGAGUGUAGCAACGGUGUUCCCACCGGUGACAUGCUCAACAAACUACAACUGGUCAACAUGUUCCUACUAGAAACUCUCAGGUUAUACGCACCUGUAUCGGCCAUUCAGAGGAAGGCGGGUUCGGAUCUCGAGGUUGGUGGCAUCAAAGUGCCCGAAGGCACGGUCCUAACAAUCCCCAUCGCGACGAUACAUCGCGACAAGGAGGUCUGGGGAGAAGAUGCCAACGAAUUCAAGCCUAUGAGGUUCGAGAAUGGAGUGACAAGGGCCGGAAAGCACCCCAAUGCCUUAUUGUCUUUCUCCAGUGGUCCGAGGUCGUGCAUAGGGCAGAACUUUGCAAUGAUCGAGGCCAAGGCCGUGAUCGCUGUGAUUCUUCAGAGGUUCUCAUUCUCCCUAUCACCAAAGUAUGUCCAUGCCCCCAUGGAUGUGAUCACGCUGCGGCCUAAGUUUGGGCUUCCCAUGAUCCUCAAGAGCCUAGAGAUGUAG